rnacentral:rRNA from 1 species
CAUCUGGAGAAGGACAACAGGGAUUGCCCCAGUAACGGCGAGUGAAGCGGCAACAGCUCAAAUUUGAAAUCUGGCCUCCGGGUCCGAGUUGUAAUUUGUAGAGGAUGCUUUUGGCGAGGUGCCUUCCGAGUUCCCUGGAACGGGACGCCAUAGAGGGUGAGAGCCCCGUCUGGUCGGACACCGAGCCUCUGUAAAGCUCCUUCGACGAGUCGAGUAGUUUGGGAAUGCUGCUCAAAAUGGGAGGUAUAUGUCUUCUAAAGCUAAAUAUUGGCCAGAGACCGAUAGCGCACAAGUAGAGUGAUCGAAAGAUGAAAAGCACUUUGAAAAGAGGGUUAAAAAGUACGUGAAAUUGUUGAAAGGGAAGCGCCUAUGACCAGACUUGGGCCCGGUGAAUCAUCCAGCGUUCUCGCUGGUGCACUUUGCCGGGCACAGGCCAGCAUCAGUUUGGCGCGGGGGAUAAAGGUUUUGGGAAUGUGGCUCCCUCGGGAGUGUUAUAGCCCAUUGCGUAAUACCCUGCGCCGGACUGAGGUACGCGCAUCGCAAGGAUGCUGGCGUAAUGGUCAUCAGCGACCCGUCUUGAAACACGGACCAAGGAGUCGUCUUCGUAUGCGAGUGUUCGGGUGUCAAACCCCUACGCGUAAUGAAAGUGAACGCAGGUGAGAGCUUCGGCGCAUCAUCGACCGAUCCUGAUGUUCUCGGAUGGAUUUGAGUAAGAGCAUACGGGGCCGGACCCGAAAGAAGGUGAACUAUGCCUGUAUAGGGUGAAGCCAGAGGAAACUCUGGUGGAGGCUCGCAGCGGUUCUGACGUGCGAAUCGAUCGUCAAAUAUGGGCAUGGGGGCGAAAGACUAAUCGAACCUUCUAGUAGCUGGUUUCCGCCGAAGUUCCCCCUUCAGGGAA